rnacentral:lncRNA from 1 species
AAUAAUAAACAACGUGUAAAUAUGAGUAUUUAAACAGGUUCUAAUUAGAAUAAUUGAAAAUAGAGAUUAGCAAAACUUAUCUGAUGAUUGUUUUAUAUUGUUGUCUGCACCACCGCCAAGUAAGCAAGCAACCACCGAGUCUUUAAUAGGAGAAUGGUAAACCAUCAAAUAAUAAUACCUGAGGCGUGCUGAUCGCACUGUCCUUAAGGAUUUAUCCGCCUCAUAAGCGCAAAUCCCCCAGGAUUCAAC